rnacentral:tRNA from 1 species
GCGGGUAUAGUUCAGUGGUAGAACGCAACCUUCCCAAGGUUGAUGUCAGGGGUUCGAAUCCCCUUACCCGCUCAA